AGUGAACGCUGGCGGCAGGCCUAACACAUGCAAGUCGAACGGCAGCACAGGAGAGCUUGCUCUCUGGGCGGCGAGUGGCGGACGGGUGAGGAAUAUAUCGGAAUCUACCCUUUCGUGGGGGAUAACGUAGGGAAACUUACGCUAAUACCGCAUACGAACUGAGGUUGAAAGCGGCGGACCGCAAGGCGUCGCGCGGAUGGAUGAGCCGAUAUCCGAUUAGCUAGUUGGCGGGGUAAAAGCCCACCAAGGCGACGAUCAGUAGCUGGUCUGGAAGGAGGAUCAGCCACACUUGAACUGAGACACGGUGCAGACUCCUACGGGAGGCAGCAGUGGGGAAUAUUGGACAAUGGGCGCAAGCCUGAUCCAGCCAUGCCGCGUGUGUGAAGAAGGCCUUCGGGUUGUAAAGCACUUUUGUUGGGAAAGAAAAGCGGUCGGUUAAUACCCGGUCGUUCUGACGGUACCCAAAGAAUAAGCACCGGCUAACUUCGUGCCAGCAGCCGCCGCCG
rnacentral:rRNA from 1 species